rnacentral:rRNA from 1 species
GACGAACGCUGGCGGCGUGCUUAACACAUGCAAGUCGAACGGAAAGGCCCUGCUUUUGUGGGUUGCUCGAGUGGCGAACGGGUGAGUAACACGUGAGUAACCUGCCCUUGACUUUGGGAUAACUUCAGGAAACUGGGGCUAAUACCGGAUAUGAGCUCCUGCUCCGUGGUGGGGGUUGGAAAGUUUCGGCGGUUGGGUCUGGAUUCGCGGCUUAUCAGCUUGUUGGUGGGGUAGUGGCUUACCAAGGCUUUGACGGGUAGCCGGCCUGAGAGGGUGACCGGCCACAUGGGGACUGAGGGACGGCCCAGACGCCUACGGGACGCAGCAGGGGGGAAUAUUGCACAAUGGGCGGAAGCCUGAUGCAGCAACGCCGCGUGCGGGAUGACGGCCUUCGGGUGGUAAACCGCUUUCGACUGUGACGAAGAGUGAGUGACGGUAAUGGGUAAAGAAGCACCGGCUAACUACGUG